AUUGAACGCUGGCGGCAUGCUUUAUACAUGCAAGUCGAACGGUAACAGGCCGCAAGGUGCUGACGAGUGGCGAACGGGUGAGUAAUGCAUCGGAACGUGCCCAGUCGUGGGGGAUAACGCAGCGAAAGCUGUGCUAAUACCGCAUACGAUCUAUGGAUGAAAGCGGGGGACCGUAAGGCCUCGCGCGAUUGGAGCGGCCGAUGUCGGAUUAGGUAGUUGGUGGGGUAAAGGCCCACCAAGCCAACGAUCUGUAGCUGGUCUGAGAGGGCGACCAGCAACACUGGGACUGAGACACGGCCCAGACUCCCACGGGAGGCAGCAGUGGGGAAUUUUGGACAAUGGGCGCAAGCCUGAUCCAGCAAUGCCGCGUGCAGGAAGAAGGCCUUCGGGUUGUAAACUGCUUUUGUACGGAACGAAACGGUCUGGGUUAAUACCCUGGGCUAAUGACGGUACCGUAAGAAUAAGCACCGGCUAACUACGUGCCAGCCGCCGCGGUAA
rnacentral:rRNA from 1 species